GCCCCAGUAGCUUAGCGGUCGGAGCGCGCGGCUGUUAACCGCGUGGUCGCAGGUUCAAAAGCCAGUUACAUGCAUGAAUGUCCUGCCUGGGGCG
rnacentral:tRNA from 1 species